rnacentral:rRNA from 1 species
AACAGGAUUAGAUACCCUGGUAGUCCACGCUGUAAACGAUGUCGACUUGGAGGUUGUGCCCUUGAGGCGUGGCUUCCGGAGCUAACGCGUUAAGUCGACCGCCUGGGGAGUACGGCCGCAAGGUUAAAACCCAAAUGAAUUGACGGGGGCCCGCACAAGCGGUGGAGCAUGUGGUUUAAUUCGAUGCAACGCGAAGAACCUUACCUACUCUUGACAUCCAGAGAAUUUGCUAGAGAUAGCUUAGUGCCUUCGGGAACUCUGAGACAGGUGCUGCAUGGCUGUCGUCAGCUCGUGUUGUGAAAUGUUGGGUUAAGUCCCGCAACGAGCGCAACCCUUAUCCUUUGUUGCCAGCACGUAAUGGUGGGAACUCAAAGGAGACUGCCGGUGAUAAACCGGAGGAAGGUGGGGAUGACGUCAAGUCAUCAUGGCCCUUACGAGUAGGGCUACACACGUGCUACAAUGGCAUAUACAAAGAGAAGCGAACUCGCGAGAGCAAGCGGACCUCAUAAAGUAUGUCGUAGUCCGGAUUGGAGUCUGCAACUCGACUCCAUGAAGUCGGAAUCGCUAGUAAUCGUAGAUCAGAAUGCUACGGUGAAUACGUUCCCGGGCCUUGUACACACCGCCCGUCACACCAUGGGAGUGGGUUGCAAAAGAAGUAGGUAGCUUAACCUUCGGGAGGGCGCUUACCACUUUGUGAUUCAUGACUGGGGUGAAGUCGUAACAAGGUAACC